UGCUGCAUGGCUGUCGUCAGCUCGUGUCGUGAGAUGUUGGGUUAAGUCCCGCAACGAGCGCAACCCUUGUCAUUAAUUGCCAUCAUUCAGUUGGGCACUUUAAUGAGACUGCCGGUGACAAACCGGAGGAAGGUGGGGAUGACGUCAAGUCCUCAUGGCCCUUAUGGGUAGGGCUUCACACGUCAUACAAUGGUCGGUACAGAGGGUUGCCAAGCCGCGAGGUGGAGCCAAUCCCAGAAAGCCGAUCGUAGUCCGGAUCGCAGUCUGCAACUCGACUGCGUGAAGUCGGAAUCGCUAGUAAUCGCGGAUCAGCAUGUCGCGGUGAAUACGUUCCCGGGUCUUGUACACACCGCCCGUCACACCAUGGGAGUGGGUUCUACCAGAAGUAGUUAGCCUAACCGUAAGGAGGGCGAUUACCACGGUAGGAUUCAUGACUGGGG
rnacentral:rRNA from 1 species